AUAAUAAAAUAAAAAAGAUACAAAUUUAUUUGCUUCAAGAAAAAAGAAAUAUAUUUGCUUCCAUUGGGCUUUUCGUUCCAAGUUGUCGUUUUCCCUUUCUUUUUGAAUUUGACCAACUCUAUCACUGCUUCCACCCCUUUCUUCUAAACCCUAAUCUUCUCUCGGUUUCGGAUCUUAAUCUUACCUAAUCUCAGCUUUAAUUGAAUAAAAAUCACGGCUUUUUUCUCGAUCUUUUUCUCUUUUAUUCGGGUUUUCUUCCGAAAAGAAAUAAGGAAAUAAGGAGGAAAUGCCUUUUGCACGGAAUUGCCGUCUGCAAGGGGGUAUUUUUCAGGAUGAUUACCCGUACCCAUUCAAUAGAAAUAACUACAAGAAUAACAGUUCCAAUAACUACAGGAACUGGAAUUGGAAUAGCAACCCUACGAGGACUUUUAACCAUGCCCACCAAUUCAUAGAGCAAUUUGGGGAGCAUAAUAGAGCUUAUCAUCAUGCACAGCCAAAUUAUGCUCCUUCUUUUAAAAGAAGAAAGUAUUCAGCUGCUACUCGGGGAUAUAGUGCGAGACACUAUCCGCCAUCUAGUAUGCAUUGCACUGCUGUUCCUUUUGACUCAAGCAAUUUCAUUCCUCCUAUAAGAUCAAAUGCUGAAGCCUCUACAUCUGUCAGCAAUAAACGUGAUAGGGCACAAUUGGAGGAUGAUGAAUCUGUUUUUAUGUCUAGGGAUGAUAUUGAGAGAUAUUCACCUUCAAGAAGAGAUGGUAUUGAUGCCCUUUGUGAAGCACAUCUGCGCUAUUCUUACUGUGCUUUCAUUCAGAAUCUUGGUUUGCAGCUUGAGUUGCCGCAAACUACUAUUGGCACUGCCAUGGUUCUGUGCCAUCGAUUUUUUGUUCGAAGAUCACAUGCUUGCCAUGAUAGAUUUUUGAUCGCUACUGCUGCUAUUUUUCUUGCUGCAAAGUCCGAGGAGACGCCUCGCCCUUUGAACGAUGUGUUGAGAACAUCUUGGGAAAUAUUCCAUAAGCAGGAUAUUAGAUACUUAUCCUAUCUGCUCCCCAUUGAUUGGUUUGAGCAGUAUCGGGAACGUGUGAUUGAGGCAGAGCAAAUGAUACUUACUACCUUAAAUUUUGAACUUAAUGUGCAGCAUCCAUAUGAUCCUCUUACAUCCAUUCUUAACAAACUAGGCCUUUCACAGACUUUCUUGGUCAAUCUGGCGUUAAACUUGGUCAGUGAAGGUUUUAUGCACUUGGAUUAAUGGGUGUUGCAAUCCUUCCAAUCCGCUGAUUCUAUGGGUUUCAACUUUAAAUGAAUUUUGGAUGGAGUGGGUCCAUGCUAUGAAUUGGUUGAAAAAAUGAGUUGAGGUGUGAAGAAGGUUAUGCAGGUUAUCUUCUUCCAUCUCGUCCAAAAUGGUCAUUGCAAGAUUAGCGUGCUCACCUGUUUGAUAUUGUUAGCUGGUGGAUUGGUGUAAAGUUUUGUUUUUACAUCUGAAGUUGAACUGCUGAUGUUUAUGGUUGUCUUUCCUAUGAUUUUACCCCAUCAACUUGGUAAUGGCUAUGAAAGCCACAUAACCUACAGAAACUAGUCUUGUUAUUUUACUUUUAACCAUUUAUUUUUUUGAGUUUCAGUUUAUUUGCAACCACUCCUCUGAAGUCCAUGCACAAAUUUUGAGUUUGUGAAAUCUGGCUGCAUCCCACUUUGUUUCCAUUCCACCCUGAUCUGGAGAAAAAUUAUUGACUUGGAAGGGUCAAUAAUGGGUCUUUCCUCCUUUUUCUUUUAAAAAAAGGAUAAUAUAAACACCAUGUGGACCUGGUGAUGAUUUUCCAAGUCGUGAAAUCAUGGUUUGUUAUUAUCAUCCGACCUUUUUCUCCUUAAAAAUGGAGGUUUUGGUUUUUCCCAAAUUCUAAUUUUGUUUCACUAGUUUGUCUAGUUUUAUAAAGGUUUUCGGAUGAGGGGCUUCCAGUUUGAUUUUGCCAGUGGUAGUGUCUGUCUAAUGAAAGUUAAAACAUCUUUGCAGUAGUUGCUUAUUAUUUAAAAAAGUUUUCCAUUCUGAUUUGUGAGCAUUGGGUACCAGCUUGAUGUGUGUCCUGUGUCCAGGCUUCAGUCCUUUCAAAUUUAGAGUCUAUCUGUACUUGUUGGAUUCUAAACUCUAGCAUGCAGUGUCAGCCAUUGGGGAUGGGUUAGAUGCAAAAAAUUAAUUGAUCUGGUAGCAUGUUAUGAAGCAAAUUCCAAAAUAUAACGAAAAUGCAACAAACUUGUAUCUUCACAUUCUGUUUUUUUUAGUUUGAAUAUAACACAGUGAUUCUCACUUAGGUUUUUGCCAUUCAUUCUGACCACGUUCUAGACCUUGAAUUGAGUACUAUCUUGUGGUUGAGUUCCGGGUGUUCCUAAUUAUAGAGUUUGUUUGGCUUUUGGAAAGAUUAUUGUUUUUGGAGUACAUUAUUAGUGUGACUUCUACUCUUUUCUUUCCCCCAUUUGAAAUAUUUCAGUUGUAUUGUUCUCCUCAAGUAUCAAUGUCGUUGUCUCUCAGCUGAAAUGAUUUGGUUGCAUUAGUUUUAGUUUAAAAACAGUUAAUUUGUGUUUCAAACUGAUUUUUGUCGUUUCUUUUAGGGUUCGUCCUCUAUCUUAUGUCUGUUACACAACUAUAUAACCACUUACGCUAAUACAGUAAUGCAUACAUAUAUUUAGGUAUAUAUUUUAUGCUAGAAGAUUAAAAAAAAUACAAAUAUGAAAGAUGCAUCGUCCUUCAAGGAUAUCUGAAAGGAGUCCACAAAUUAAAUGGAAAUGUCUGUAAAUGCUAGUUUACAUCUUGUAUAAGUUGGAGGCAGUUCCGUAUGCUCGAAAAGUAUAAAUGGCCUUAUUGCCUAGAGCACUUUGGUAAUGCUGGAUGUAUGACAACUUUUGAACUAGAGUAGUUGACAUUGUGAAGCAAUCAGUUUUAAAUACUGAAAAAUUUUACCCUGUACUAGGGUUAACUAGAAUGGGCGCAGCCUAAAGGUUAUAUACUCACUUGGGAAUUUACAGUCAAUUAGAAUAGAUAAUAUGAAGUAAAUCUAAUUGGCUGUGGAGCACUAAUCAGCCUGAGAUCUUUAAUUUCUUUUGGAUCAGGCUUGGACUGACAGUAUUGGUAGGCUUGGUCCUUGUUGGGCCUUUUGGUCUUGUCAGUAUUUAUUGCAUGGUUCCUAUUCAAGACAUGGUAUAGUGUUCUACUGCCUGUUAUUUUGUGGAAGAAUGGUUUUCCCGUAAGCAAGAGGAGAAUGAUAACUGUGGAAACAAGUAAUGUGCAUCAGACUCGCGUGAAAAUUAUAUAUCCUUGUCCUUGUUGGUUCUUCCAUUAUCAUAUCAAACUGAGGCCUUUAUGAGCUCAAAUUAUGAAGAAAAAUAAAUUUAUGAAAAUUAUACACACACACACACACAUAGAUAUGUGCGUGUGUACACUUUUUUGUCUUUUUUCCCCAUCAUCAACUAUUAUUAUCAUAUCUAUAGUUGGUGCCCAACUUCCCUCAUUGCAUGUAUAACCCUCUAGUUCUCUACAAUUUAAGUUUUUUGUUUAUUUUUUUUCCAAAAAGUUUAUUCUUUUUAAUCCAUUAUCUUUUUCAUUUUUAGUCUUUUUCUUUCUUUUUUUUCUUUUUUUCUUUGAUUUUUGGUUUAUUAACUAAGGGCAUCUGUAUAUACUAUUCUAGGGUUCAUUUGGAUGAGCAAUAAGGUUGGAAACGGUGGUGGAAGUGAGAUUGAUUAUUUUAUUGAUGAGAUUAAAAUCAGUGAUGAGAUGUGUGUUUAGAUUUUAAAACAGUAGUAGCAGUAAAGUAAAUUGUAGUGAUAAAACAAAAAUGACUAUUAAGGGCAUUAGAUUAAAAAUUGUAUGUAAUAAUA